AUCUCAAAUUUCAUUG
rnacentral:rRNA from 1 species